ACGUGGAGAAGGAAUUCAUCUACCGGCAUUCACGCGCCGUCUUCAACAUCAUGGACUUCGACCAGUCGGGCACGGUGUCAGCUGAGGAAUUCGAGAGAAUAGGCUUCCUCUUCAACUUCUACAGUACCGCCAUCCGGUCAAUCUUCAAGGAGUUCGACGUGUCGGGAGAUUCGGAGCUGGAUUUCAAGGAGUUUAAGCUAUUCGCAAUGGCGUGCAUCGACCAGCAGCGUGCCAUCUGGCUGAGUGAGCAGCGCAAACAGCUCCACAGGAAGCAGCUCAAGUUCUUAAGCGACAACAGAGAGAUGCUGCUGUUCCACCUGAGCAACAGACCGAGUCAGGCGGCCCUUCUGGCCUCCCCCCACGGUGUGGAAACGGAGGCGCCCACAGGACGUUAGGUCCAGUGGGCUGCUACACUGGAGAACGAUAAAAACACAGUUG